GUGGUGGCUCAGUGGUAGAGCCCUCGCCUCACACGCAUGAGGUCCUGGGUUCGAUCCUCAGCACUACA
rnacentral:tRNA from 1 species